AAUUAUUUUAUUGGUAAUGUACAUUUCAUGCUAAUUAUAGUAGUUAUACAGACUAACCUUUUAUAAAUCGAAAUUUUGUUUUAACGCCUUUAAGUACAAAUAACCCUAACCCUAAUUAUAGUAGUUAUACAGACUAACCUUUUAUAAAUCGAAAGGUUGAUUAUAAGACCGCGCCGGUUUAAAACUUUUAACGUCUUUAAGUAUGUACAAACGUAUUACUUUUUAAAUGUUAAUUACUUUUAUAAGAAUGUUCCGGCUGAUUACUUUUUAAUGCAAUGGUCUUUAAGUACGUACAAACCUAGUCUUUUAUAUUUUAGAAUCGGAGGGUGAACUGUUUGAUUCUUUAAAACUGACUAGUUCGCAAUUGGAGGAUUUAAUAGCUGAAACAGAUUGCCUUUUUGAGAAUAAAAAUCCUGCCUCAGCCAAAGAGUCCCCAGAAACAGAAUACUCGACGCCUCCAAAGAGCGGGUUUUCUUCCGAAGUUUCCAGUCAGCAUCUAGAAUCGGCGCAAAGGCUCUCGGACAGUCUAUUAUUGAACAUCUCAUUCACGCCGCCCGAACCAGCCUCUCCUGGCUUACUGACUCAGAUACUCGGGGGAUCACCGCCGUUUGCAUCAUCACCGGA